GUCGACGAGUUCUCGUUGAUGAUCGGUGCUUGCACCGAGAUUCAACAUGGAACGAGUGGCGGACGGGUGAGUAACACGUGGGUAACCUGCCCUUAAGUGGGGGAUAACAUUUGGAAACAGAUGCUAAUACCGCAUAGAUCCAAGAACCGCAUGGUUCUUGGCUGAAAGAUGGCGUAAGCUAUCGCUUUUGGAUGGACCCGCGGCGUAUUAGCUAGUUGGUGAGGUAAUGGCUCACCAAGGCGAUGAUACGUAGCCGAACUGAGAGGUUGAUCGGCCACAUUGGGACUGAGACACGGCCCAAACUCCUACGGGAGGCAGCAGUAGGGAAUCUUCCACAAUGGACGCAAGUCUGAUGGAGCAACGCCGCGUGAGUGAAGAAGGCUUUCGGGUCGUAAAACUCUGUUGUUGGAGAAGAAUGGUCGGCAGAGUAACUGUUGUCGGCGUGACGGUAUCCAACCAGAAAGCCACGGCUAACUACGUGCCAGCAGCCGCGGUAAUACGUAGGUGGCAAGCGUUAUCCGGAUUUAUUGGGCGUAAAGCGAGCGCAGGCGGUUUUUUAAGUCUGAUGUGAAAGCCCUCGGCUUAACCGAGGAAGCGCAUCGGAAACUGGGAAACUUGAGUGCAGAAGAGGACAGUGGAACUCCAUGUGUAGCGGUGAAAUGCGUAGAUAUAUGGAAGAACACCAGUGGCGAAGGCGGCUGUCUGGUCUGUAACUGACGCUGAGGCUCGAAAGCAUGGGUAGCGAACAGGAUUAGAUACCCUGGUAGUCCAUGCCGUAAACGAUGAAUGCUAGGUGUUGGAGGGUUUCCGCCCUUCAGUGCCGCAGCUAACGCAUUAAGCAUUCCGCCUGGGGAGUACGACCGCAAGGUUGAAAC
rnacentral:rRNA from 1 species